CUUCUCUUCCCCCUCCUUUUCCCAACACCCUCGAUCUUCUCUCCCAAGCUGCACUCCAUUUGGGAGAAACUACAGAUUUUUUUGUAACAGAAGAAACAAAACAACCACUAUGGUAUAUGAAGGGUCAGAGCUUGUAGUGUGUGGCACCACAUCUGAAGGUGCCUCAAUAGCAAAGCCAGAACCAAUUGUCUCCAAUCAAACACAUCCAGUAUUAAAAUAUUCUAUUCAACCCCCAGGAAACCAGCUAAUGCAAAAUGCAAACAAUUUUUUUCCAGCCCAAGUUUUCUAUAUUUCCAUACAAAAAAACAAAGGGAAAAGUAGGAAGGAACAAUUGACAUUUAUCUUUUAAUUAAAGUCAAAAUGAAUCCUGACAAAGAGCUAGACUAAGAAUUAUCUACCUUAUGUUUUGAGGUAAGUGUUACUGCCCAGAUUUUCAGCACCCCAAAGCUUUCGAUCUUCAAAAACAUAAAACAGGAGAUUUUCACCUUUCGUUUCUGCUCAGGUUGCUGUCAAUCAGUUAAUAAAUCAAAAUAUCAUCAAAAUACAUGAAUAGAAAGUGAGGUUACAUCUGGCAAACCUUUAAUUCAAAUAGGUAAAUUCCACGCUUGGUAAAACAUGAAAGACUUCAUUCUUGAGCCCAUCAAUUUAGAAUCAAAUACAUUAUAAUGCCUUGUGCUUUUAAACAACUAUAAUUUCUACAAAGCCAUACAUUGCAAAUAUAAAUUAAUUUCACAAAUCAAGCAAAUGGAUUUCAUUCAAUUCUAGAUUUCCCAGACCAACCCCAGAUAAUUUUUGAUAGUAAAGAGUAAAGGGCAGAUUUACAUAGGGUCGAAUAUCGAGGGUUAAUUAACACUCGAUAUACGACUGCCGAAUGUAAACUG